rnacentral:misc_RNA from 1 species
GCAGUAUUAAACAAAGAAAAAAGCUCUUAUUAACGUCAUAGUCACAACAAAGAAGUUAAAAAAAAAAAUACAUAUUAAUAAAAUUAUUGUUUAUUUUAGAUUGAAUUGUAAAAAAAAAAAUAAUAAUAAUCUAAUUAGAAGAUGCAAGGAGGAGGCCGAUUGCAGAAACCAGGGAAACGCGCUUGGUUUAAACGUGGCGCUAUCGUGUUGGUUGCCGCUUGGUUAUUUUCGUCUUUUUGUUGCCGAUUUUCAAGAUAAAUAAGGGCAAGCUCGAUAUCCAUUCCUAUAUUCAGAAAUGCAGAUAUAAGAUUAGUCUCUGUAAAUUUCGAUCAAGUUUCUCCCGCUCUCUCCCAAAAGGCAUCUUCAAUUUCUUCUUCCUUUCUAUUUGAUUAGGCUUCUUUUUGAAAAUUUUAAGCCCUCAUAGAUUGUUUAAUUGCGAUUCCAUUUUUAUUUUAUUAACCUAGAUUCUCAGAAAGUAGUAGAUUUAGGGUUUUGGCGUAUUUGCCUGAAUAAUAAUAUUUUCUAUUGACCUUUCCAUGAAAUAGGUUUAAUCCUUUGAUAAACUUUGUUUACUGGAUUUGCAUUGAUCGUUUGAUUUGAAAUCUCAAUGAAUUGUUCUGUUUGUUGUUUUGUAUAAUCACUGGAGUCUGAACGAAUCUCAUUAGUCAUUAGUACCU